rnacentral:rRNA from 1 species
AUUGAACGCUGGCGGCAGGCCUAACACAUGCAAGUCGAGCGGAUGAAGGGAGCUUGCUCUCUGAUUUAGCGGCGGACGGGUGAGUAAUGCCUAGGAAUCUGCCUGGUAGUGGGGGAUAACGUUCCGAAAGGAACGCUAAUACCGCAUACGUCCUACGGGAGAAAGCAGGGGACCUUCGGGCCUUGCGCUACCAGAUGAGCCUAGGUCGGAUUAGCUAGUUGGUGAGGUAAUGGCUCACCAAGGCUACGAUCCGUAACUGGUCUGAGAGGAUGAUCAGUCACACUGGAACUGAGACACGGUCCAGACUCCUACGGGAGGCAGCAGUGGGGAAUAUUGGACAAUGGGCGGAAGCCUGAUCCAGCCAUGCCGCGUGUGUGAAGAAGGCCUUCGGAUUGUAAAGCACUUUAAGUUGGGAGGAAGGGCAGUAAGUUAAUACCUUGCUGUUUUGACGUUACCGACAGAAUAAGCACCGGCUAACUUCGUGCCAGCCGCCGCGGUAAAAC